UAGGGAAUCUUCCGCAAUGGACGCAAGUCUGACGGAGCAACGCCGCGUGAGUGAAGAAGGAUUUCGGUUCGUAAAACUCUGUUGUUAGAGAAGAACAGCGCAUAGAGUAACUGUUAUGCGUGUGACGGUAUCUAACCAGAAAGCCACGGCUAACUACGUGCCAGCAGCCGCGGUAAUACGUAGGUGGCAAGCGUUGUCCGGAUUUAUUGGGCGUAAAGCGAGCGCAGGCGGUCAAUUAAGUCUGAUGUGAAAGCCCCCGGCUCAACCGGGGAGGGUCAUUGGAAACUGGUUGACGUGAGUGCAGAAGAGGAGAGUGGAAUUCCAUGUGUAGCGGUGAAAUGCGUAGAUAUAUGGAGAAACACCAGUGGCGAAGGCGACUCUCUGGUCUGUAACUGACGCUGGGGUUCGAAAGCGUGGAUAGCAAACAGG
rnacentral:rRNA from 1 species